UUAAGUUCAGCGGGUAUUCCUACCCGAUCCGAGGUCAACUUGAAUUGAUUAAGGUUAGCGGCGUGGCCGCCCGUCUAGCUAGCGAGAUUGUACAACGCUUGAGAGAUCGGAGUAGUCCAGCCGGCGAAAUCGGGGCGCGGGGACGUUCCGCCGCCCAAUACCAAGCCAGGCUUGAUGGGUGUUAAUGACGCUCGAACGGG
rnacentral:misc_RNA from 1 species